ACGCUGGCGGCGUGCCUAAUACCUGCAAGUCGAACGAACUCUGGUAUUGAUUGGUGCUUGCAUCAUGAUUUACAUUUGAGUGAGUGGCGAACUGGUGAGUAACACGUGGGAAACCUGCCCAGAAGCGGGGGAUAACACCUGGAAACAGAUGCUAAUACCGCAUAACAACUUGGACCGCAUGGUCCGAGUUUGAAAGAUGGCUUCGGCUAUCACUUUUGGAUGGUCCCGCGGCGUAUUAGCUAGAUGGUGGGGUAACGGCUCACCAUGGCAAUGAUACGUAGCCGACCUGAGAGGGUAAUCGGCCACAUUGGGACUGAGACACGGCCCAAACUCCUACGGGAGGCAGCAGUAGGGAAUCUUCCACAAUGGACGAAAGUCUGAUGGAGCAACGCCGCGUGAGUGAAGAAGGGUUUCGGCUCGUAAAACUCUGUUGUUAAAGAAGAACAUAUCUGAGAGUAACUGUUCAGGUAUUGACGGUAUUUAACCAGAAAGCUACGGCUAACUACGUGCCAGCAGCCGCGGUAAUACGUAGGUGGCAAGCGUUGUCCGGAUUUAUUGGGCGUAAAGCGAGCGCAGGCGGUUUUUUAAGUCUGAUGUGAAAGCCUUCGGCUCAACCGAAGAAGUGCAUCGGAAACUGGGAAACUUGAGUGCAGAAGAGGACAGUGGAACUCCAUGUGUAGCGGUGAAAUGCGUAGAUAUAUGGAAGAACACCAGUGGCGAAGGCGGCUGUCUGGUCUGUAACUGACGCUGAGGCUCGAAAGUAUGGGUAGCAAACAGGAUUAGAUACCCUGGUAGUCCAUACCGUAAACGAUGAAUGCUAAGUGUUGGAGGGUUUCCGCCCUUCAGUGCUGCAGCUAACGCAUUAAGCAUUCCGCCUGGGGAGUACGGCCGCAAGGCUGAAACUCAAAGGAAUUGACGGGGGCCCGCACAAGCGGUGGAGCAUGUGGUUUAAUUCGAAGCUACGCGAAGAACCUUACCAGGUCUUGACAUACUAUGCAAAUCUAAGAGAUUAGACGUUCCCUUCGGGGACAUGGAUACAGGUGGUGCAUGGUUGUCGUCAGCUCGUGUCGUGAGAUGUUGGGUUAAGUCCCGCAACGAGCGCAACCCUUAUUAUCAGUUGCCAGCAUUAAGUUGGGCACUCUGGUGAGACUGCCGGUGACAAACCGGAGGAAGGUGGGGAUGACGUCAAAUCAUCAUGCCCCUUAUGACCUGGGCUACACACGUGCUACAAUGGAUGGUACAACGAGUUGCGAACUCGCGAGAGUAAGCUAAUCUCUUAAAGCCAUUCUCAGUUCGGAUUGUAGGCUGCAACUCGCCUACAUGAAGUCGGAAUCGCUAGUAAUCGCGGAUCAGCAUGCCGCGGUGAAUACGUUCCCGGGCCUUGUACACACCGCCCGUCACACCAUGAGAGUUUGUAACACCCAAAGUCGGUGGGGUAAC
rnacentral:rRNA from 2 species